rnacentral:rRNA from 1 species
GAUGAACGCUGGCGGCGUGCCUAAUACAUGCAAGUCGAGCGAACGGACGAGAAGCUUGCUUCUCUGAUGUUAGCGGCGGACGGGUGAGUAACACGUGGAUAACCUACCUAUAAGACUGGGAUAACUUCGGGAAACCGUAGCUAAUACCGGAUAAUAUUUUGAACCGCAUGGUUCAAAAGUGAAAGACGGUCUUGCCGUCACUUAUAGAUGGAUCCGCGCUGCAUUAGCUAGUUGGUAAGGUAACGGCUUACCAAGGCAACGAUGCAUAGCCGACCUGAGAGGGUGAUCGGCCACACUGGAACUGAGACACGGUCCAGACUCCUACGGGAGGCAGCAGUAGGGAAUCUUCCGCAAAGGGCGAAAGCCUGACGGAGCAACGCCGCGUGAGUGAUGAAGGUCUUCGGAUCGUAAAACUCUGUUAUUAGGGAAGAACAUAUGUGUAAGUAACUGUGCACAUCUUGACGGUACCUAAUCAGAAAGCCACGGCUAACUACGUG